UACGAAGGGGGCUAGCGUUGUUCGGAUUUACUGGGCGUAAAGCGCACGUAGGCGGAUCGUUAAGUCGAGGGUGAAAUCCUGGAGCUCAACUCCAGAACUGCCUUCGAUACUGGCGAUCUAGAGUCCGGAAGAGGUGAGUGGAACUCCUAGUGUAGAGGUGGAAUUCGUAGAUAUUAGGAAGAACACCAGUGGCGAAGGCGGCUCACUGGUCCGGUACUGACGCUGAUGUGCGAAAGCGUGGGGGAGCAAACAGG
rnacentral:rRNA from 1 species